GUAGGUGGCAAGCGUUGUCCGGAAUUAUUGGGCGUAAAGCGCGCGCAGGCGGUUUUUAAGUCUGAUGUGAAAGCCCACGGCUCAACCGUGGAGGGUCAUUGGAAACUGGAGAACUUGAGUACAGAAGAGGAAAGCGGAAUUCCACGUGUAGCGGUGAAAUGCGUAGAGAUGUGGAGGAACACCAGUGGCGAAGGCGGCUUUCUGGUCUGUAACUGACGCUGAGGCGCGAAAGCGUGGGGAGCAAACAGGGAUUAGAUACCCUGGUAGUCCACGCCGUAAACGAUGAGUGCUAAGUGUUAGGGGGUUUCCGCCCCCUUAGUGCUGCAGCUAACGCAUUAAGCACUCCGCCUGGGGAUACGGCCGCAAGGCUG
rnacentral:rRNA from 1 species